AUGAGCAUGGUUAUUAACAUUACAUAUAAAUCUUUCUACAGUUCUCACCAAACUGAACUUUACGCAGAGGUCCCUUCAACAUGCCUGCCUAUUGUCUAUUCCCCAGAGUACAACAUCACCUUUAUGGGUCUGGAAAAGCUGCAUCCCUUCGACGCUGGCAAAUGGGGCAAGGUCAUUCACUUCUUGAAAGAGGAGCAGUUCAUCACCGAUGAGGUCAUUGUUCUAGCCCGGGAGGCCAGCGAGGCGGAUCUUCUAGUGGUUCACACUGCGCGCUACCUGAACAGACUCAAGUGGUCGCUGGUGGUUGCCACCAUCACAGAAAUCCCACCUCUCCUGUUCCUGCCCAACUUCCUGGUACAGCGCAACGUUCUAAAACCUUUGAGAACACAAACAGGAGGAACCAUUAUGGCUGGAAAGCUGGCAAUGGAUCGAGGAUGGGCAAUAAAUGUGGGAGGAGGCUUCCACCACUGCUCUAGUGACAAAGGAGGAGGUUUCUGUGCCUAUGCUGACAUCACACUGGCUAUCAAGUUUCUCUUUGAGAGGGUGGAGGGAGUUGCCAGGGCCACCAUCAUCGAUCUAGAUGCCCAUCAGGGAAACGGCCAUGAGCGGGAUUUCCUGGAAGACAGACGCAUUUACAUAAUGGAUGUCUAUAAUCGCCACAUCUAUCCAGGAGAUGGAUAUGCAAAGAGGGCGAUUAAACGCAAAGUGGAGCUGGACUGGGGCACAGAAGACAUGGAGUAUCUACAGAAGGUGGAGCUCCAUUCAGAAGGGGCGCUGAAUGAAGUAAAGCCAGACAUCAUCAUAUACAAUGCAGGCACAGACAUUCUUGAUGGAGACCCUCUGGGAGGUCUGGCUAUAUCCCCACAGGGUAUCGUAAAGAGAGAUGAGAUCAUCUUCAGGGCAGCCCGUCGAAGAGGAAUCCCCAUCCUUAUGGUGACGUCAGGGGGCUACCAGAAGAAAACCGCUCGUAUUAUUGCCGAUUCCAUCUUGAAUCUGCACAGACAGGGUUUGAUUGGUGAAGAGGCUGUAGAAGCAUGACAUCUUCAAACACCUGCUGGUUUAUUGUUCAAAAGCCUCGCCACAACCGGAGAAGAUUAAUGUUGAAAGCAAAUGCUGAGCGGCAGGACAAAUGCGCUGGAAUCAAACCCAUGACCUUGGCUUUGUGCCAGUUGAGCUGGAUGCCCAUGACGUGGAUAUGAUUUCAAAAGAACCGAAGGUGAAUGAUUUGGAACCAUUUAUUCUACCUAAUUUUACUAUUCAUCUUUUUUACCAGUUUAAAAAUCAAACACUACACCCACUGCUGUGGGCUUUCCGUUAUGCCAUCCAUGUGUAUGUCCCUCCCAUACUCCACCCUCCAAUGCUGUCAUGAGUUAUUUCAGGAGGUGUCUAUGACUCAGCUAUCAAACGUCAAGAGCCCACUGGCAUCAUGCGAGCUGUCCAUCCAAGAACUACAAAAGCAAUUCAGAUGACUUCUAUUCAAAAAGCACAAUCGCCAGGGUUUUACAGGCUCUCAUUAACGGCUGCUAUGCCCUGUUUACACAGUCUGAGGUAAUGAGUAUGGCUCCCUUGUCCCUUACUCUUCAGAUUAAGGCCUUUCUUGGGCAUUCUUUGAAGAAGAGUCCUAGAGUGUUCUUGACUCAUUUAGGCAUGGCUAAGGGGAAGUUAGGAAUUCUUGAGAUUACUUUUGAGUGGCAUUGAACGAAAAUGCGAUGUUGUUGGAUACUGAAUAUUUCAUAUUGAGUACCUAGUGGGACUUUGCAGGUGUAUACUGUAUGUCUGCCUGCAUUUAUUGAUUUAUUUUAAUGUGUUUUAUUUAUGAACAAACUUUACAGUUCUGCCGUUCAGUCACUUAUUGCUUGGACUUGAUUAUAUACAGUUUCUAAAUUGAAUUCGGGAGUGGAAACAACCUACUAUCUCUUUUGAAGUCUCAGGGGGCUGUUUAGCACCUGUGAAGCAGUUUAACCUUGUAAAUGUACUACUGAAAUUACAGUAAGCAUGAGUUGAGGAAAAUAUUAUAUUACAUUUUUUGGUGAACGAAAGAACUGUUCACCCGACAAUGAACAUUUUACCUGAUUUACCUUUACAUAUUCUAUAAAUCAUUGAAGGAGAUAUUUAGUGGAACAUUCAAACUGUUCUUUUUCAUACAAUGAAAGCACUUUUUUUACCGCCAUACACCAAUAAAAAAAAAUCCUAAAAGCAGUUAGAGUUACAAGUCUUUUGAAGCUGUAGAAUAGCCUGUGUGUUAAUUUUUUUCGUCUUUAGACACAUUGCACCAGGUUUGAUGUCAUUGGCUGACGCUCUGUUGCGUGACCAAAGUGUUUCCAAAGUGGGAAGGUUCAAAAAACGCAACUGCAAAUGAAAUUUGAUAGCUACCGCAGAGGGAAAGAUUAUCAUUGAACCUUAGCAACCUAAAUGUUGGGCUGUUCUUAACAUCUAACAUAUGGAUUCAGAAGGCUUGAAAUAUAUUAGAGUAUUUUUAUGAUUCUUUUAUAGUGCUUUUUGUCUUUUUAGAGCUUGGCACUUUCUUUGAAUGGAAAACUCAGUCUUCCAAUAACAACAUCUUUUGUUUUGCACAGAGUAAAGAAUAUGAGUGGGUUGAAAUGAAUAGAGGGGUGUGAUCCUGGGUUGGCCGUUGCAGAUUGAUGUCAAAGUGAUUAGAACAGCUGGGCCUUCUAGCUGGGCUUGAUGCCAGCUCUCACACAUCAGCUCUCAAAAGACAGUCCAUCACCCUUGAUAAGUGGCACCUGGAUGAGGCCUGGAGUGCAGAGAUUCAAUCUGUGAGAGCUAUUAUUAAAAUCCUGUCAGGGGGACUUUCCUGUUGGCCAACGUGACGGUACCUUGUUUUCUCCCACAUGUCAGUUUGUUUUUCUUGUUUUGGCAUCACCACACCCGCAAAAGCAUUAUAGUUUUCUGAUAAUUCUGCUGACAUAACGCUGGUUCUUUGAUAGUACAUCAUUCUGACUUGUUUGAAAUGGAAAUGGAAGCAGAGAAAGAUCUGAUCCUGAUUGCCUUUAAAUGACUAAUGGACGUAACCUUUCAGGUGGUGAUUUGUUUUGAAGGUGUUGUCAUGCUGUUGUAAUUCUGACAUCAGGUCUGUUUUUGAUACAAAGGUUGUAUCAGGGCCAGUUGAAAUCUCCUGCUUGCAUUUGUACCCUGUAGUUUGUUUUCCAGCUGUUCUGAGGAAGAUGCUUCUAAGCUAGCCUACUUCGCUACAACCUAAAUGAGUUCAAAUACAGCAGAGCUACUAUUAAAAAAAUAACCAUAUUUAAGUAUUUUGCCUCAAUAUAAUUGCAUGGGGUUUGAAUAAAACGGUAAAUCGUAUUUGAUCUGUCAAAUAUUUCAAAAUUUGCAUGUCCCAACUUGUAUAUACAAACUUCGCAGGAUGACUUGAAUGCACCGUAUCCCUCUUGAAAUCCUACUUAAAUCCUGUACUGUGUAAAUACAAUUAGUGCCUUUUAAAAUUACAUUCUAAAAAGGAAAACAUCUAUUGGUCAAUUUAAACAUUACUAGAUCCAGUAGAACUACUGUAUUUUUGUGACCUCUUUUACUGUUGAAAAUGUUCCAGCAAAGUCCCAACUCACAAAUUGUACUGCACAAAGUCUAAGAAAGAUGUGCAAGUUCAGUCAUAGUGUUCCUGUCGCUCUCUCAGCUGGAAGAGCACUCAACAGCUGUUCAUUUUAGACUGUAAUCAAAUGCCUUUUAGUUAACAGUCUCCCCCUCUCCUCACAAUGUCUCAUUGAAAGGCGAGUGAAGUACAUUAAAUGCUGGAGAUUUCAAGCACGCUAGAUGUGCAAUAAUAGCAUUUUCUGAUGCAAGCAUCGUCAAUCUAUGCACUCUUCUUUAAUAAAAUGCCCAUUAUAAAGUGCAAGAGAAAUGUGAUUCUGAAGUGCUUUUAAAGAGACCGUGUGAAUUAUGCUGGGAUGCAGAAGUAAGCCAGUCAAAAAAGGGAUACAUAUACAUGUUGGUGUCUUAAAAGUACAAUAGCCUUAGACGCCUACUGUAUGUGUAAAAAAAAAAAUGUAAAAAAUUAUUGAUCAUGAUGGUGCUAAUAGAUAUAUUAAUUUGCCAUUUUAAAUGUUUGGCCCCCAUACAUUCCAAAACAUUCAUCAAACCAACUCUUCUAUUGAAAUUCAAUUUAAUGUUUCUUUGUGGAGAAAAAAAAGGUCUAAGGUGGUUUUCCAGAAUAGUUCUUGGUCAAUGUUUCUCAACACCAUCACAGCGCUUUCCAGCAGUGACCAUUUCCAUUAGCGAGACAAUGAUGGUGAGAUCUUACUCUGCUCCUGCCUUCAUUCUGUCUCUUUUUAUCUCUUGAACUCUACAUGUAUCCAAAAAGUGUGGGGAGGAGAACUUAGGAAGGAGAAAAGCAGGAUUAAAUCAUCAUGUGACACAUACUCUCUUUUUUUUUUCUUUUUUUUUUUACUUUAAGUCCCCAGCCUGCUCAGGAUUGUAACUGUUUUUUGCAUUUAUGAGGCAUAAGCAGCUACAGGAAAAUUCCAAGGACUCCUGAUACUUCAAAGCGAAAACUUUUUGUCAUGAGAGGCAGCACAAAUGAUUUACCCUUUGUGAAAGUUUGAUAUAUUCAUUCAGUUUAUGUAAAACAUGACCUGUCAUUGGGGUUCUAUAAUACUGUUAGCAUUCAACACAGUUGAACAACAGUUGCUCUACUGCUGAAAUCACCCAUCUUUGCUCAAAAUAGGAUGAUGCAGCUGUAGUUUUAAUUUUAAUUGUGAAUGACAGUGUACAGUAUCAGUUUUCUUGUUUUGCCUGUUUUGUUAUUGUAGAUAGUUGUAUCCAGCUGGACAUGCAUUAUUCAUCAGGACUGCAGUAGGAACAGUGGACCAGCAGGUGGCUGCAGAAGGCGAGUGUGUAUGUGGACUGCAGUCCCAUGCAGCACAAGCUUCUGUGAGCAGAUUCAAGAUCAGUUCAUCUCUUCAGGCCAGUAAUGCACUUGGUGGAGGACAGAGCUGAGAGACCUUUUGGGACCAGAAAUCACUUGUGUCAUGGGCAUAAGUGUGUUUAUAAGAUGAUGUAGUACAGAUGUGGUAGAAUUUCUGCAUAUGUGGAGCAAUCAGUCUCUCAGUAUAGUUGAAAACCGAGAAACGUUUUUAAAAUACUGAAACCAAACGCUAUAUUAUAGUUAAUCGUUCUUGCAAGUCCAUUCAUACAGGUCAUAAUUCUCCUACGAAUCCUUUGUUUACCCAGUUGAAAACAUUACAAUUCUAUGACUUGGUAGAUUUGUGUACUGCUAAAUUUGCGUAUAGGGCAAGACAACACACCCUCCCUCAGUCCUUACAAGCUUUGUUCAGCUUGAGAGACAGUAAUUACGACCUUAGAGGGACAUGUAUGUGUAAUAUACCAAAUUGUAGAACUAAUUUAAAAAGAAACUGCCCAUCAAAUUAAAGUUUUCAGCUUUGGAAUAGCUUCCCUGAUGAGUUAAAAAAGGCUAGUUCAUUAACACAGUUAAAAAUACUUUAUAAAGGAUUGGUAAAG